rnacentral:rRNA from 1 species
UACGUAGGGUGCGAGCGUUGCCCGGAUUUAUUGGGCGUAAAGGGCGCGUAGGCGGCUCGGCACGUCCGUUGUGAAAUCGCCCGGCUCAACUGGGCGGGGUCAGCGGAUACGGUCGAGCUUGAGCAAGCUAGGGGGCAAUGGAAUUCCCGGUGUAGUGGUGGAAUGCGUAGAUAUCGGGAGGAACACCAGUGGCGAAGGCGGUUCUCUGGGACGGUACUGACGCUGAGACGCGAAAGCGUGGGGGAGCGAACAGG